rnacentral:rRNA from 1 species
GACGAACGCUGGCGGCGUGCUUAACACAUGCAAGUCGAACGGAAAGGCCCUGCUUUUGUGGGGUGCUCGAGUGGCGAACGGGUGAGUAACACGUGAGUAACCUGCCCUUGACUUUGGGAUAACUUCAGGAAACUGGGGCUAAUACCGGAUAGGAGCUCCUGCUGCAUGGUGGGGGUUGGAAAGUUUCGGCGGUUGGGGAUGGACUCGCGGCUUAUCAGCUUGUUGGUGGGGUAGUGGCUUACCAAGGCUUUGACGGGUAGCCGGCCUGAGAGGGUGACCGGCAACAGUGGGGCAGAGAGACGGCGCAGAGGACUACGGGAGGAAGCAGGGGGGAAGAGUGCACAAGGGGCGGGAGCCUGAUGCAGCAACGCCGCGUGCGGGAGGACGGCCGUCGGGUUGUAAAACGCUUUCGCCUGGGACGAAGCGUGAGGGACGGUAAUGGGUAAAGAAGCACCGGCUAACUACG